GACGAACGCUGGCGGCGCGCUUAACACAUGCCAGUCGAACGGAAAGGCCUGCUUUCCCUUGUGGAUUGCGGGUACUCGAGUGGCGAACGGGUGAGUAACACGUGAGUGAUCUGCCCCCAACUUGGGUAUAAGCCUGGGAAACUGGGUCUAAUUCCCGAUAGGACUGCAGGGUGGUGCCUGUGGUGGAAAACGAUUUUCUAGUGGUUGGGGAUGAGCUCGCGGCCUAUCAGCUUGUUGGUGGGGUAAUGGCCUACCAAGGCGGCGACGGGUAGCCGGCCUGAGAGGGUGGACGGCCACAUUGGGACUGAGAUACGGCCCAGACUCCUACGGGAGGCAGCAGUGGGGAAUAUUGCACAAUGGGCGGAAGCCUGAUGCAGCGACGCCGCGUGGGGGAUGACGGCCUUCGGGGUGUAAACUCCUUUCGACCGCGAGGAAGCCACCUGGUUGGAAGGGUGGUGACGGUAGUGGUAGAAGAAGCACCGGCUAACUACGU
rnacentral:rRNA from 1 species